UGGCGAGGAUGCUGCUUUUGGUGCACCUGGACUGCCUAUAAGACUAAAAUUGGUUUGUGAGUUUAGACUUUCGUAUUGUUUUGCUGGGUAACAUUUAUUUAUAGUGACACAGAAAGAAUUAUGAUAUUUUGGUGGCUAUUUCCGUGAUAUAUGUGCCAUAUAGAAACAGACAAAAUUGACUGUGUAUUACGUAAUUUAGUCAUUACUACAGAGUUAUCAAAAAGCGACCAAAUAUCGACUGCAUUUACGUUUUGGAUUUAUCUGACUUAUCAUGCAUUUGUAAUUGUUGGUGGCAUAUGUUUUACUUUUAAGUUGUACUCUUUAUCUGACAAAAUCAUAUACUAGAUAGGUAUAAGUUUUUGUGUAAUGUUCAUAAAGACCAUUGUCGAGAAAGUACCCUUACUUUUUUCGUCCAUA